AUAAAAGUAAUGAUGGAGAGAGUACGUUAUAAGUGCCGUCUAGCGAUUUAGGGAUAGUGGGAGCCUAAACGAAACGCUUAUAAAAGAAAAUCACUCCUGAACUAGAUUGUUGAAAGGGAAGUAGGCAAUCUCGUCAACACCGCGUUAAGGUGUCUUAAGCGGCGCUUUUACAGCGCAACUAGGGUGGUACCGCGAGAAAUCUCCUCCUCGUCCCUUUU
rnacentral:ncRNA from 1 species